rnacentral:rRNA from 1 species
UACGUUGGGGGCAAGCGUUAUCCGGAUUUACUGGGUGUAAAGGGAGCGUAGACGGCGAUGCAAGCCAGAUGUGAAAGCCCGGGGCUCAACCCCGGGACUGCAUUUGGAACUGUAUAGCUAGAGUGUCGGAGAGGCAGGCGGAAUUCCUAGUGUAGCGGUGAAAUGCGUAGAUAUUAGGAGGAACACCAGUGGCGAAGGCGGCCUGCUGGACGAUGACUGACGUUGAGGCUCGAAAGCGUGGGGAGCAAACAGG